GGCGUAAGCGCGCGCAGGUGGUUUCUUAAGUCUGAUGUGAAAGCCCACCCCUCAACCGUGGAGGGUCAUUGGAAACUGGGAGACUUGAGUGCAUAAGAGGAAAGUGGAAUUCCAUGUGUAGCGGUGAAAUGCGUAGAGAUAUGGAGGAACACCAGUGGCGAAGGCGACUUUCUGGUCUGUAACUGACACUGAGGCGCGAAAGCGUGGGGAGCAAACAGGAUUAGAUACCCUGGUAGUCCACGCCGUAAACGAUGAGUGCUAAGUGUUAGAGGGUUUCCGCCCUUUAGUGCUGAAGUUAACGCAUUAAGCACUCCGCCUGGGGAGUACGGCCGCAAGGCUGAAACUCAGAGGAAUUGACGGGGGCCCGCACAAGCGGUGGAGCAUGUGGUUUAAUUC
rnacentral:rRNA from 1 species